rnacentral:rRNA from 1 species
CCUUAACCUGCUAAAUAGCCCCGCCGGCUUUUGGUGGUCGCGGGUUUUUUAGGGGGACUGUCAGGGUCUAGCCGAGGGAAGUUUGAGGCAAAAACAGGUCUGUGAUGCCCUUAGAUGUUUUGGGCCGCACGCGCGCUACACUGACAGGGCCAGAGAGCCUUGGCCGGAAGGUCUGGGUAAUCUUGUGAAACUCUGUCGUGCUGGGGAUAGAGCAUUGCAAUUAUUGCUCUUCAACGAGGAAUUCCUAGUAAGCGUGAGUCAUCAGCUCGCGUUGAUUACGUCCCAUGCCCUU